rnacentral:misc_RNA from 1 species
GAUGAAGAACGCAGCGAAAUGCGAUAAGUAAUGUGAAUUGCAGAAUUCAGUGAAUCAUCGAAUCUUUAAACGCACAUUGCGCCCCCUGGUAUUCCGGGGGGCAUGCCUGUUCGAGCGUCAUUACAACCCUCAAGCUCUGCUUGGUGUUGGGCCCCGCCGCCCCGGCGGGCCCUAAAAUCAGUGGCGGUGCCGUCCGGCUCCGAGCGUAGUAAUUCUUCUCGCUCUGGAGGUCCGGGUGUGUGCUCGCCAGCAACCCCCAAUUUUUUUCAGGUUGACCUCGGAUCAGGUAGGGAUACCCGCUGAACUUAAGCAUAUCAAUAAGCGGAGGA